GCGGGAGUAGCUCAGGGGUAGAGCACAACCUUGCCAAGGUUGGGGUCGGGGGUUCGAAUCCCCUCUCCCGCUCCA
rnacentral:tRNA from 1 species